GCCGCUAAGCGAUUUAGUGUUCCGGUGCGAUGCCGUGUAGAAACCAAGGGGGAUACAUUAUAUGGUUUUAAUAAAACUGACAUACCCCUUCCAGGUUAGCCCGCUUCCUACUUAGACCGCAUCAUCACUUACCAGCAGGUGAGAUUGCAGUCAAAGGCUAACUUGUAUAAAAAU